rnacentral:rRNA from 1 species
AAAGGCUCACCAAGCCGACGAUCUGUAGCUGGUCUGAGAGGACGACCAGCCACACUGGGACUGAGACACGGCCCAGACUCCUACGGGAGGCCAGCAGUGGGGAAUUUUGGACAAUGGGCGCAAGCCUGAUCCAGCAAUGCCGCGUGCAGGAUGAAGGCCUUCGGGUUGUAAACUGCUUUGUACGGAACGAAACGGUAAGCUCUAAUACAGUUUGCUAAUGACGGUACCGUAAGAAUAAGCACCGGCUAACUACGUG